GUCUUAUCAAGAGAGGUGGAGGGACUGGCCCUAUGAAACCCGGCAACCAGUAUACAUUUUUAGUGUACAAUGGUGCUAAAUCCUGCAGUGUAAACUGAAAGAUGAGGA
rnacentral:ncRNA from 2 species